UUACUGACCAUAAAAAGUCCAGAACCAGAUGGAUUCACAGCCAAAUUCUACCAGAGGUACAAAGAGAAGCUGGUACCAUUCCUUCUGAAACUAUUCCAAUCAAUAGAAAAAGAGGGAAUCCUCCCUAAUUCAGUUUAUGGGGCCAGCAUCAUCCUGAUACCAAAGCUGGGCAGAGACACAACAAAAAAAGAGAAUUUUAGACCAGUAUCCCUGAUGAACAAUGAUGCAAAAAUCCUCAGUAAAAUACUGGCAAACUGAAUUCAGCAGCACACCAAAAAGCUUAUCCACUAUGAAGUUUUUUUUUUUUAAUUUAAUUCAAUCUCAUUUGUCAAUUUUUCCGUUGCACUUACACUUUUAGGAACAACCAGAUUAUAUCUUAACUACUUUGCUGCUUAUAAAUUUCUUCUGCCAGAUACACUAAAUCAUAGAAGAUUUUGCUUGAAGUUUAUUGCAUUUGCAUAAUUGUGGUAGCCAGAAUUCUAAGACAGCCCCCAAGAGCCAUGUAUACAUGGCUGGUGUACAUUCGCUGUAUAAUGCAAUAUCCUUGAGUGUAGGUGGGAUCUGAUAAUAUGAUGAAUAUUAUUUUCAUGAUUAGAUUACAUGGCAAGAGUAAAGAUGUUUUUCAGAUGUAAUUAAAGGGCCUAAUCAGUUGACAUUAAGUUAAUCAAAAGAGGUAUAAUUCUUGGUGUGCCUCCCAUAACUGGGUGAAGUCUUUUAAAAGAAGAUGAAGCAUAAGAGACAUUACAAUGGUGACCUUAAGGAAAGCAGACAACCAUUUGUGAACUGCAUAUAGAGUGAGGUGACUUCAUGAGCUGAGGACCUUGGUUUUAUAACAUCAGGAAAUAAAUUCUGCCAACAUCCACAUAAGUAUGGAGGAGUACUUUGAGCCUCAGAUGAGAACUGCAGCUCCAGCUGACACCUUGAUUACAGUAGGAUCAGAGAAGGGAACACAGCUAAACUAUGCCUAUACUUCUGACUUAUAGAAACUGUGAGAUAAUAAAUGGAUGUUUUUAAGCUGGUAUAUUUGAAACAAUCUGUUACACAUAUGUAAUAAAUUGCUACAUGCUGAGCACAACACUUUUAUUUAAAUUUAAAUAAAAAUUUGUAAUAUUUGACACAUUAAAUCACUUAUGUUCUAGACAAAGCCUUUUUUGAGAACUGAAAUUUACAUUUUGAAGCCCUUCCUAAAGUUCAUAGAUUAGAAAUACAAGUUUAACCUCACAAACAUUUGAGGCACUUCAUUUUCCUUCUUAAAUUUACCCCAUUUGCUCUCUUCAAAUAUAUAUAAAGAAAAAUAUUGUCUUAACUACUAACACUAUACUGUCCAUAUGAAAUUUUACCAAACUUCAACAAAGUUAAUUCCUAAAAUUCCAGUGGGAGUUCUAUUAACAAGUCAAUGAUGCUUUAGUGAAAAGAACUAUAGUACAAAAUGAAUGAAGCAAUAGAAACUAGCACAAUUUGUUAAAAAAAAUCUAAGAUGUGGAAAUAAAAUGAGUUACUGCCACAUAAAGCAAAAAGCUCCUUGGAGAAUUUUCAUAUGCUUUCCAUACUAAGGUAUUGAUAGCCACUUGGACGGGCGUAGCCCGCAGCUAGGUCUUUAUUUUCUAGUUCUGCAAAUGCUCUCUCACAGUGGUCCCCUAUACAUUUUAUCACUCUACCCAGAUCCAUUUCUCAACAUUCAUUUUACAAAUACUUUCUGAACCUUCUAUGUAAUAACAACAGUGUUAUCACAGAGUCAGUGAGUCUAUAUGUAUGUUUAACAUACAUUAAAACAAUUUUUUUUUUGAGACGGAGUCUCGCUUUGUCAUCCAGGCUGGAGUGCAGUGGCAUGAUCUCAGCUCACUGCAACCUCUGCCUCCCAGGUUCAUGCUAUUCUCCUGCCUCAGCCUCCUCAGUAGCUGGGACUACAGGCGCCCGCCACCACGCCCAGCUAAUUUUUUGUAUUUUUAGUAGAGACGGGGUUUCAUCGUGUUAGCCAGGAUGGUCUCCAUCUCCUGACCUCGUGAUCUGCCCGCCUCGGCCUCCCAAAGUGCUGGGAUUACAGGCGUGAGCCACCGCGCCUGGCCUAAAACAAUAUAUUUUUAAAUUUACAACUGUAGUAAGAGGCACACACACCACAAUGAAAUAUCAUACUCGUAAUCUAAGUGAUGCAACAGUUGCAGAAAUUAUUUAGCUGGCAAGUGUAGUCAUAAAUACUUAUAAUUUGUAUAUUUAUUAUGCAUACUUUAUUAAUUGCAUUUAUAUUGCUUUAGGUAUAUCUUGAGAUAUGCUUGAAUUUUGUAACAAAUAUAAUUUGUCUCAAAUAUAAAGUCACUCUAGAAAGUUACCUCUGCUUUCAGAUGUCUUCAGAAAUUCACCAAAAAUAUGAGGAGCUUGUCAUGAGUUUAAGAAAAUAUUAGCUAGUUAAGAAUCUAACACGGCAUUCCAAAAGGGUGUUCGGUCAUUAUUGCCAUAACCCUUCUUUUUUUUCUCACUCACUAUUUACUACCAGCCCUACCAUUUCUCUCCUGGUCCCACUUCUCACCAGUUACUUAUGUGAACAUUCACACCCCAUACAUACUCUUUCAUACUUUGAUGGAAAUAUCAGAAGUGAUUUGGUUAUUGGGCAUUUUUGUCUCUGCUAUUAAAAUGUCAAUAUAUAAACUGUACACUAUAACUGGAAUUCCAGGCUAUCUGAUUUAUUUUAAAUGCUUCUGGUUCUCAUCUAAGUUCUGUAUCAACUUAUCAUUUCUGCUUUUGCUACUUAAUGACCUAGACUUGUACUCAGAAUUUAUUUCUGCCUCUAUCAUUUAGCAGAGAAAAUUCCAGUAAAACAUGCUAAGUUCUAAGUUCUAAAUGACAGGUGGAGUAUGAUUUCACAGGCCUCUUGCAAUUUAUGUGGGCAGUAUGAACAUUUUCUGGCUGAAUUGCUGAUUAUUUUUAUUGAGCAAGUGUAUUUUCUUCUAUGGUUAACUUUGUUGCUCGAUUAUUACUCAAUUACUUAUUUUAUUGAGCAAGAGCAUUUUCUUCUAUAGUUGAUUUUUGUUACUCAAUUGUCCUCUAGCUGUAGUAUCGGCAUAAAAGUAUAAAUAUCCUUGCUAGACGAUGCCUGCUUACUCUUGUGGUAGUUUUACAGUUUAAGAGUUUAUACUUUUGCUUAUUAAAAAUAUGAGUUGCAAUUUUAGUACAUGUUAUUAUUACCAGGCUACUAAAGUUCUUAGGCAACAUGCUUGUUUAUUUCUUUUUAUUCUUUCCUACUUUUGUAACAGUUCCCUCUGUCCCAUAAAGUGUUAAAAGUGGGUUUUGCCAUAUUUAUCAUUAUUACAGAAAAUGAAAAUACCAUAGUAACUAUAAAAAAACAUAAAAGCCAGUCCAUGGUGGCUAAUAUUAUGGGUCCUUGUUAUAAAAACCAAAAUCAAUUCAGCUGAAUGAAAAAGCUGGAAUUUACGCAAGCUCCCUCUGUGUGCUGUCUUCCAUUUGAAACAGCUCAGUGCAUCUUAGAAAGAAUAUAAUAAAGGAUUAAGAAAAAAAUUAAGUGUUUUAAGAUACCUUUUGUAAAAAUAAACUUAAUUUUCCUUUUUUUUUUAGCUCACAUAUAUCAAACAGCAGACCAAAGUGAUUAUUUCGAUUUAUUUUGACAACAAUUCAUUGUAAUUAUUUUGAAGUAAAGAACUGGACUUCAUUUUUUUUUCUGCCUAGGAAGUAAGACACUGUCAUUAAAAAAAAUAUAUUGACUAAGAAUUUACAUUAGAUUGACCAUGUGAAUUAUCAUAAGUUCAUACUGCCAAACACUGCUUUCUUUAUACAGAAUGAUUUCUCAGAUGCUAUGGAAUUACUGAAUUGAACUCUAUUUUAUACAAGAAAACAGAUUUCUAAAACUGUGACUUAUUCAUUUUGUAUAAAAACAUGAUAUAAUGUAUCUGAAAAAUAAAACACUUUAUGGAAUUCUAAAUUAAAGAGACAUUUUUAUGUUAGACAGAAUUCUGGCAUCUCCUCAGUGUAUUUGUAUUCGUGAAUAUGUGUGUUAUAUGAAUGAAUAAAUUUUGGAAAGGAACUAUAUUUUCUACCUAAUCUUUUUCGAAUAACUCAGUUAUUUAAGUAAUUGCAGUUUUUGUAAUGAAGAUUACUUUUGCACCAAUCUAAUAUAUUGCUCUUUGUUGGAUCUGGGAUUUAGUUUGAUCCUACUUACUACUUAAUAUGUUAACCUGCGGCUGUUACAUAUGCUGGCAGAAGACAAGAGACUCCUGAGUUAGAGUUAAGAGAUUUUAUUGAUUCCAGAACACAAAGCAUCUAUAGUCAUCAUGAACAUAUUUCUAUCCAUUCUCUUUGUCCCCAAGUCUCACAAGGGCCAUGUGAAGCAGCCUGGGUGGAUAUUGCAUUUACAAUGGGUUUGCUUCACAGCUGAGGGAAAACACUGACCUAGGGGAUCUACUCCUUUCAUAUCAAGCAGUAAGCAAACAUACUCUUUGUCUGGUAAUACAUCAUCUCCCAAGGUUACUGCACACACACCCUACAAAAUGGCAGAGGUGAAAAGUGGUCAGGGCCUUGUAUUCUUAGCAUACUCAGCAAGAAAUACAGAAAAACAAGAAGUCCAAAGAGGAUUUUUAGUACUCACACACUGUCCCUCCUCACAAAAAAUAAAAGAUACAAUUGAUGUCUAACUUGUUUACAUAGCUGUAGCAUAAUUUAGAAUAAGUUUUAUGGUACUGGUGAUAUAUAAAUACAUAUUUUUAAAUGAAGUUGUCUAUUUUAGUAAUGAUGGACUACUAGAACAAACUUAAACAGUCAAAAUUUCUAUUUUAUUCAUAUUCUGGAAAUAUAAAAUUCUAUUAGUUUUAGCUAUUUAACUAUUAAAAUGAUAUAAUAUGGAUUCAUGCAAUUCAAAGUUUUUCAAAUAACGGAAAAUAUUAUCAAUAUAAAAAUAGAGCUAAUAUAUAAUUAUUUCUCUCUUAAUUUCUUAAAAAUAAAACUGUUCCUCGGGUGAAUUUAAGGGGAAAUAGGUAAUAAAUUAUCAUAGUAAAGAUAUUUGCUUAUUUGAAUACUAGGGUUUGGAUGAAAUUGUAUGAUGAUGUAUUUGAUAUAUUAUUUUACAAAUAAAAAUGAGGUCUUCUUGGAAACCCAGCUCCAGUCAAGUUUCAAGUUGAAUGCAGCUCCAUGUAUGGCCUGAGAAUUAACCAUUUAAGGCAGAACUACCCAGCUGAUGCAUGAAUGAGUUCUCGACCUACAAAAUCGUAGGGAAUAAUAUAUAAUAGUUUGAACACUCUAAGUUGUGGGGAAUUUUGCCAUAGAAAUCUGAUACAUACAUAAUAAGUGUUCACUUGAAAUAAGACUUUGUUGUCUUUGC
rnacentral:lncRNA from 10 species